UUAAUGUGAGUAACCCCUGUGUAACUAGGUGGGGAUGACCCAGAUGAAGUUGUGAAAUCUGGGCCAAGUCCAGUUUCAUAAAAACUUCACGUUCAAAUACAUAGAAUCGAUCUGGAAACAGGCAUGGCCCCCUCCCCACCACCAGUGAAGUACCAGCUCGGUUCAACGAACACUCUUGACCCUUUCCUGUUCCAUGCAAAGUUCACCCGUUCACCCGAACGUCCGGGACCCCCUGCCGGCCUCUGGCCCGCGCCUCGUCACACGCACGCUGCACGAGACAAACCGAGGGGACUUGGCCCCGCUUCCAGACCGGCUGGACGGAGACACCGCCGAGCGUUCCCUUUCUGCUCACUGCGCCCGAGCGGACUGCAGUUCCUCUUCCUCAUGCAGUUUUAGUUUCUCUGCGUUUAUGUGUAAUGGUGAUGCUCUGGUCAUAGAUGCCAAGGUCUACAGGAAGUCACUGACUUGUAAUAAUCACUUUCGUAACUGCUAAACGUGGUAACUCAUCAGGUUCAAAAGAGGCAGUGUCACCAAGACUUUACCUUGGACAAAGUCCACAGUGACUCACGAGCAGGUGGAUAAAACGGUGAAAACACCCGCCUCUCCCACCAGCCCCUGGAGGUAACAGGUCACUGCUUAUUCGAUUACCCACUCAAUAGUGCUUUUGUUUCACAUAGUUUUGCUUUCAAAUCCAGUCCUGUAAACAUGUAAUUCAAGAAUCCACAUUUUAAGAAUGGACUGCAAUUGAGAAAUAGAAUGCAGAAAACCAACAGUGUCGAGAUCAACAUUUUAAUGUGAUUCUCAUUCAAACUGGGGGAAAAAAUCACAAACAAACCCGUGCAGACAGUCCCAGGGCCGCUCUAAUGUAAGAGGAGCUUUUGGUCAUCACCUUAUCAGUUUUUUAUGUUUUGAAAUUUUGCAUUAUCUUGACUUAUUUGAAGACUUCAUUUUCGCUGGGGACAAGCCAUUUGGUAUUGUUCUGGUGCCUUGGUUACACGCAGCCAUGGAGAUUUGAGAUGGGUGAACAAGCCAGAGCGUUUUAAAGCUAUGACUGGAACCCCCCCCCCCUUAAUUUGAAGACAGAAAAAUGUAAAAGUUCC